CAGGAUGAACGCUGGCGGCAGGCUUAAUACAUGCAAGUCGAACGGUAAGGUCCGAAGUGGCAACACGGAGGAUACACGAGUGGCGCACGGGUGCGUAACGCGUAUGCAACCUGCCCCCGACCGGGACAAAACAGCUGGAAACGGCUGCUAAUAUCCCAUGGUCAUGCGGAAGGGCAUCCUUCUUCAUGUAAAGAUUCAUUGGUCGGGGAUGGGCAUGCGUAUUAUUAGGUAGUUGGCGGGGUAACGGCCCACCAAGCCGACGAUGAUUAGGGGUCCUGAGAGGGUUAACCCCCACACUGGAACUGAGACACGGUCCAGACUCCUACGGGAGGCAGCAGUAGGGAAUAUUGGGCAAUGGGAGCAAUCCUGACCCAGCCAUGCCCGCGUGAAGGAAGACGGCCCUAUGGGUUGUAAACUUCUUUUGCCGCAGAGUAAACCCGGUCACGAGUGGUCGGUUGAGAGUAUGCGGCGAAUAAGUAUCGGCUAACUCCGUGCCAGCCGCCGC
rnacentral:rRNA from 1 species